rnacentral:lncRNA from 1 species
UUCAUAAUUUUAUCUUUCAAUAUAGAAAGAAAGAAAGAAAUUAAAAAUUUGUAAGAAAUAGAUUGACAUCAAUGAUUUAUUGAAAAAUGUAUACAAUAUGCUUGUUUUAGUUUAGACAUAUCCUUAUUAAUAAUGUUUUGCAAGAAUCAAGUAAGAGUGGGUUUGUUAAGGUAAGCCAAAACACCAACAAAAGGAGCGUUGAUGUAAGUGGUUGGUUCUGAUUGGGUGCAAUUGUAACGAGAAUCCUGAAAGGAAUCAUCGAAUGCUGGUCCUCCAACAACAGCACCUGUGAGAACGUUGGGAUUGGGUUCAUCUGAUUUGAAGAAUUCAUCUCCAUCUCUGCACCCAAUGUGUGCUGGGUGUGCAUCCAAAGAUGCUAUCACUGAACCACGAUGGUGUAUCUUCUCAGGAAACUUGCUUCCAAACCCCACCAUGAAUGACAUUCCCAGUGGAUUUUUUCCCAGAAUGUAAUCAGCCUGCAAUCAUCACAUCAUACGCAUAAUCAAACAUGUAAUCCAAUUCAAGAAGUAGACUUAAUCGUAACUCAACCUUAAGCUUAUAAAAUGAGGUAUGAUACCUGACGUUUUGCAAUAUUUAUCAGGGUAUUCGGAUUCACAACUUCUUGCCCACAUGGUAUUGUUUUAUUCACAGCAUUCAUGUAACGUGCAUAAACAAUUGAGAGAAAUGACAGAGCUGUUGCGUGUUGUAGAUUACUUCCUCCAGGUUUGAAUAGAAGACCACCUAAUCAAAAUAGUUUGAUAAGUGUCAAUAUUAUACUACAACAUUAUUAACAUUUUUACUCUUUCAGUUUGAUACCUUUGGAGUAGGACACUGAUUUGGUAGGUGAAUUCGGCAGAAAAGAACACAUAAGUUUAUCUGCAUUAGGAAUGAAAAGGUCUGCACUGCUUGAAUCACCCAUCGCCCACUGCAAAAAUUCCAAGGAUUGAAACUUAAUUAGAUCAAAAUAGAAAAUCUUGUAAAAGUUACACCAAAAAAGAUUAUGAAAGAUAACUAACCUGAGAAACAAGCACAUUUAUCCCAGCCUGUUUGCUAUCCCAUCCAAAAUCAAAAAGACCAGCGUCCAUAGUUUGAAUGUUUGAUUUUACAAAAUCCCAAUAACUGGCUGUGUUUGUGGCUUUAUACAACCACGAUGCUCCCCAAAUCAACUCAUCCUGGUUUAUGCAUGAUAAUGGUAAUGACUUGUAUUUGGUUCUUGGUGAAACAAUUAUGAAUAUCAUGAGAGUGAAACAUUAACACAAACACAUACCAUGUAGCCGUUAAAAUCACAGUAGAAGGGGCAUACUCCCUCACCUACGCUGGUAUUAUAAGAUCCACGAUAUUUGUUUGCAAAGUCAAACACCUAAGAAAGACAAGCUUCUAGAAGGAAUUAGUAUUAAUAACAGUUGGUGAGUAUGCAUUUAGUGUAAAAUUGAAAUAAUACCUGGAUAGCUCUAUCAAGAAGAAUUUUGGAAUAGGAAGCAUCGGUUGCCCUAAAUGCCAUGGAAGAUGCUGCAAGUGCUGCUGCAAUCUCACCAGCGAGUUCUGAACCUGGCUUCUGAGGAGUGAGAAAGUACGAGGUUCGAGGAGUGUCCAUGUCUUCUGGUCUCUCCCAACAGUCAUGGUCGGCAUUUGGAUCUCCAACUUGUGCCACAAUAAUAUUAGGAGACUUUGUGGCUUUAAGGAAAUAGUCUGUUCCCCACCUGAUUGCAUCUAAUGCAUUGUUCAGCUCCGAACCCAUCAGAUCUCCAAAUUCCACCACACUCCAUGAUAGCAUAGUCGUUGUGAAUGCCAUUGGAAAAUUGAAUUUGACAUUGUCGCCAGCAUCAUAGUAUCCACCCACCAUGUCUAUCUGAAACCAUUCAGUUUAUAGAAUGAAACAUAUAUGCACUCUUCAAUUACCAACACACAUGUUAUAUUAUAGCAUAAUCAUGUAAUGAAUACUUUCAUUCAGUUAAUUCAUUUAUAAAAGUUAAGGAAAUGUGUUAUUUAGGCUAAUUAGUAGUACAAAUUUAUGUAUAAUUUAUAACGUUAAAUAUAUAUAUAUAUAUAUAUGCUUAACUUUUAUAUAUAUAUGUACGACAGUCAGAAGUCUCAGCACUAACAAUCGUCACACGACCAAAUUCAUUAUGCUUAAACAGAAGAUUAAUAAGACUAAUAAGUGAUCAAACAUUAGGUAAUACACUCUUAAUCAUGGUUCAAAGUCUUAAUCUGACCUAAUAACAAAAGACUCAUGAUAAUCAUAUAAAUAGGUACAAAUUUUGAGAAUAAGGUACAUCUUUAUUUAGUACUAAUAGUACUGCAUAUCGAAUACUGAAUACCGAGAUUUCACUAAAGCGUCAGAAAACCUUUUGCAGGUACCAUUUGAACUAAGAGUUCCCGAUGACGAAAAGUAGAGGAGUGAAAGGAGAACGCUUAACCCAUUUCAAGAAGAAGGAAGGAGUACUAAAUGGACCAACCAAAAAUAAAGAUAAUCAUUCUACUUCCAAUCUUGUUUGAAAAUUAUUAAUAUGUUUAUGAUUUUAAUUUUUUGUUAAAAACAAAUAAUAGGAAGGUGACUUAGAGUAAAAAGGUAAAAAUAGAGAAAUAAAAUGAGGAAUUAAUUACACGAAUAUCCGAGCCAUCAGAAAGUGCUGAAUCUUUCCGCCAUUUCAUGCGCUGAGAAGGUGGCAACUUGCCUGACCUCUGACCUUCGAAGAACAAAAUGCUCUUUCCUAAUGCUUCUUCAUAGUUUAUCGAAUCUUCACUUUUCACUGUAAUAAUCAUCAUCAUCAUCAUCACCAUAACUGUAAUUCCUACUAGCCAUGAUGUUUUCGACAUUGCUACUCUGCAAUCUCACCAUUCACCUCUUCAACACUAUAAAUAACAAUACACACAUAUAGAACAACAUAAAUCUAUGUAUGGAAAAAAUAAUUAGUGCUAAUUAGUAUCUGAAAUAUUGAAAUAUUUCUGACAAAUAAUUACUUAAAUUUGUUGUCUUUGAAUAGCGGUUGACAACUGUGGAACACUUUCUAUUUUUUACAUCUUUUUUAUUACGAUUUUAAAUUCAAUAUUUAUGUUAACCGUUAUAUAAAAUUCUGUAAUGUUUCAAUCACUUCGAGUUUACAGAAGUUUUGCAAAAUCAAUUAUAAAAUUUGGAAUGUAAUAAGCGAAUAUAGAAAAUCAAUUAUCAAUUAAAAGAAUUUUUGGAAUAUUAAAGUAUCAUGCACCAUUUCUGACAGUUAAUUACGUUUAUUUGCGGUGAUAAAUAUUGUAAGUUAAGUAUAUAUAGUAAUUUUCAAGUGUCAUAACUUUUUAUUUCUUUCUGUAUCAAUGGAUGUUUUGUCAAAUAACUACCUUCCUUUAUAUUUUCUCAUUUUCUCACAUAUUUUACUCACUCUAAAUCAUACACAUUUUUACUGCAUAAAAAUCAUUAAAUAAAAAUUAAUUUUAAAAAUAAAAAAAUAAUUAGUUACUAUAUUGAUUAAGUUAGAUACUAUCUUAGAGACUUAAAAAAAUUAUUGAUUUCUAAAUUAGUUUCUAUUAUUGAUAAAUAGUUUUUAAAUUGGUAUCUAAUUAGCUAAUAAGAUUUUUGCUAUCAAAUUUAGAAUCUAAAUAAUUGGUAGUUAAAACCAAAACUUUGGUAACUAAUUAGAUAUCAAUUUAGAAACUAUUUAUUAAUAAUAAAAACUAAUUUAGAAACUAAUAAUUUUUUUAUUCUUUAAAAUAGUAUCUAAUUUAGUUAAUAUAUAACACAUAAUUAUUUUUAGUCUCUAAAAUUGGUUUCUAUUUAAUGAUUUUUUAGUAGUACUAUUUUUAAUAUAUAUUUAAAACAUUACAUUUAUACAUUAUUUUCUAUACAUUUAAAAUAAUUAUUUUAAGUUAUCUCUCUUCAUAAAUCAAAUGUCGUGGGGUUCACCCGAAGGUGUAAAAAAGAAAGUACUAUAUAUACUCCUUCAUCUUUUUAAAAUAUUUUUUUAUAAAAGUUGAUGUUCUUUAACCCAUUCCUAACUAUUUUUAGUGUUCAAGAAUUUUUCAAAUAAAUAAAAAAGUAAUUUGCAAUAUUGUUGUAUUAAGUUUUUUUUUUAUUAUUAUUUAUCAGCUGUUGUAUUAAGUAUGUAUUUGGGAAGUGAUUAACUAUGAAAUCUCAUGUUUCGGUGAAGUGGGAAAUUUGAGUCUUGGGUAGGUAUUUUUUCUUUAUAUAUUGAGUUUUAUGUGCUCAAGUUUUGUUAUUGUGGUAUGAAUAUGGAAGUAAUGUAAAGUAAUUGUAUUUGGACAUUUUAAAUCUGCUAAAUGUGUAAAGUGGUUAAGUUUAAUCUUAGAACUAGUUUUUAAAAAUGAUGCAAAAUGCAUAAUUCAUUUCAACAAAUGGAAUUUUGUUUAAAAAAUUAUAUUUGAAGAACUAACUUACUCUGAAAUAUUGGGUUAAUUAACUUUUAUAAAUUUAGGUAAUAAAUUUAAACCCAAAUGCAUAUAUUAACUUUUGUUUUAAUUUCGCUUAAUUUAUUUUAAUUCGCUCAGAAAAUUUCUAAAAAAAUAACAAAAAAACUAAAAUUUUAUUAUUUGCAUAUUUUUUUUGAAAUAUAUGAUUUCUUUCUCUAAAUUAUUCAUGUUUAUAAUUUUUUUUUCAUUUCCCAUCUCUUAAAAAGUAUUGACACUUUAUAAUUAGUCUUAUAUCUUUAAAUUUAAGACAACAAAUUUGUUUUUCAUAUAUCAUUUAUAAUUUUAUCUUUCAUCAUACCUUCCUUUCACAAUUUCAUAUAUAGUAGACCAUUUUUCAACUACUUUUAACAUAAUAGUUAAUAUAUAUAUAUAUAUAUAUUUUAGCAAAGAGGAAAGUCACCUUCCUACAACAUACAAUUGAACUAGCAACUUAGUCUUUAUUUCCUUUUAAUCUUAGUUGUUUCCUUUCGUUUUUUACUCGCAUUUAUCUCGAAUGAUUUGAAUUUUGAAUAUCCACCUAAUUCCAUGAUUCCCAUUUCAUCACUCCUAUUGGAGUAAAUACAUGUUUUCAUAAAUAUCGUGAUCAAUAACAGAUGUUCUUAACAGUAUUAUUGAACUUGAUCCAUGACCACACAAAAUAAAUAAAUAUAUAUAUAUAUAUAUAUUAUUUUAAAAAUUAUAAUGAAAUGAUUAUUUGUAUUAAGAAACAUUAAAAAGACAAUGGAACAUUGAAAAUUAUUGAAUAAGAAUUAUCCAUCUUAGGUAUAAGAGAUAUAUAUAUAAGAAGAGGAGAGACAGAAAACAAACAUAAGUAGGAGGUAUGGUGAGAAAGAAAGAAAGUGAAAGAAGAAAAUUGAAGAUUUGUAAGAAAUAAAUUGAUAUCAAUGAUUUAUUGAAAAUUAUAUACAAUAUGUUUGUUUUGUUUUACACAUAUACUUAUUAAUAAUGUUUUGCAAGGAUCAAGUAAUAGUGGGUUUGUUGAGGUAAGCCAAAACACCAACAAAAGGAGCGUUGAUGUAAGUGGUUGGUUCUGAUUGGG